CAACUCCACAUUCGCUUCACAUCUCCCUAAUUUUUCCUCCUCCAUCUCUUCUAACUUUUCAUUUUGUUUCCUUUCUUCAAUGGCAAACCUCUUCAAAAAACUCCCACUUUUCUUCUUUCUUUUUACCCUCAUUCUUCUCAUCUCCGUUUCUUCUUCUUCAGCCAGAUUGCUGCGCCAACAAUCUCUUUCCCCCGCCCUUAAACUUGAUAUUCCGGCCGAUCCCGCCGCACCCACAAUGACCGAAUAUGAGUCUCUGCUUCUUGGGUUUCUUCCAAAGGGAGGAUCAAUCCCGCCGUCCGGACCCAGCAAAGGCACCAACAACUUCAACACUUAAAGAAUUCUUUUCUUGGGUUUUUUCUUUUCUAAUUUUUAAAUCUAUGUGUUUCGUUUAGGGUAAAUAUUGGUUCAAAAGUGAUGUAGACUUAAGAGGAGAGGAGAGGUCAGAGAUAUUUCAUUCAUUAUUUCAUUAUUAUGCAAUUAUUUGUACUAUUAAUUCAUUAACUGAUGUAUACUGAUUAACUUUUCUUUUGUUAAUCAUUGGAUUAUUGUGUGUCUUGACGCCAAAACUCUGCCUCCAUGACAAGCUUAAUUUCUCAUGGAAGUUUGAGAAAAUAUUGUGUAAAUUUAAUGAAAAGAUUCAUUUUAAUGUAGAAAAUGUAUAAUUUCUUUUUUAUGGAAUGAUCGUAGUUGCCGGUGGUAUUUAUAUACGUCUUAAGUUGUAUUUUGAGAUCAUUUAUUCUUCUUUUAUUCUACUUUUAGUUGUACUAUUCGAAAAAUGUACUUCGAGGAAGGUGUUAUUCAAAUCUCUUAUUGGGAGAGAGUUUGAUUGUAAUUGUUCAUAUUAGUGUAGGCUAUAUCGAUGAAUGUAAGAUAUGAAAAAAGUAUAAUCGUGGUGUCCGUGGAACUACCCUAAAACCUUUUUAUGUGAGUAGUCAGGAUAAUGUGAUGAGUUUUUGGGUUGUUCUAAGUGAUUUCACAUUCUAUUGAGGGAAUUAUCAUUCUUGAUUCUUCUACUUAAAGCAUAUUUUCAUAAGUUGUGUGGACUUUUUGGUUUGGUUGUUUUAUUUGCCAUUUUUUUCUUAAUUCUCCUGGUUGGGUUUUGUUUAUCUCUCUUUAUUGCAACUCAAAAUUCUUGUGAAUGUAGAAAAUUAUCCUUGAGAAGCUCAAUCACUGCAAAAUAACUAUGAAAUAGGUUUAAAUUCAGGUAGACUCAUAAACCCAGCUUUGAUUUUCUUUCAUUGGUUAAAUGAAAAUGGCAUUAGAAAUGUUUAACAAUUUAGUUUAGUUAAAGGUAAGCUAGAAAUCAAGAAUAGAAACAUUGUCCCAAUGCAAGUGGGAGGUGGGGGAUAAGAGAGAAUUGAAAUAUCCUAAAAUUAAAAAUAUUUCUGUCUUAUAAUUGUAGAAUAUAAAAGUAGUAUUUAAGCAACAACAUUUUCAAUGGUUGGGUCCACGAUAACCCAAUUUAAGUUGAAGGUACAAAUUUCAACGCCUUGCUUGAUCCAAAUUCUAUUAACAAUUCAAUAGAAAGAUGUGAUGCUAUUGCUAACAAAUGUCAAAUGUCUAGCUAUUUAAAUGAUUUAAUCAAUACACCUUGUCUCUUAAAAAGAAAUAAUUUUGCACACCAUCUUAUUUUCUACCCUUGUGUCGAUUUACAAAAUAUUAAAAAUUACUAUUUUGAUCUUCUCUUUUUUUUUUUUUUUUUUUUUGACUCCUAGAAAAAUACUAUACUAAAUAAAUCUUGCAAAGUAUAUGAGUUUGUGACAAGGAGAUUCCAUCGAUAUAAUGAAUUUCAUAACUUAGAUGAUCAAUUUUUAACAAUAUUUCUAAAAUAACCAAAAAGAAAAAGAAAGGGUAAUAGUUAAUGAAGCUUUUGAUUCCCAACGUAUUAAAAUGAUUUUUGAACCCUAUUAUUGGUUAGCCAAAUGAAAUGCAUACGCAGCAUUUAAAGAAUUUGAUAAAGUGUCAAAUUUAUUAAUUUGAUGAUGUGUCGUAUACUAACUAUUGAGAAGCUUCUUUGUCACACACCAUUAUGUCAUGUUGUCUAUCUCAACGUAAUGAGUGAAGAACUAAAGCUCACUUCCCCCUAAACCAUUUCAGACGUGGGAAGUAAAACAAAAAUUGUUCCAUCCAAUGAACAAGUAGAUAAGUAAGAACUUGUUCACCAUGAUUUGUGGUACCAAUAUCAGUGUUGAGGAAAGAAACCUUUAUCCUUCAUUCCAUACAUUCUUCAUAAGCCAUAGACUCAUACAUGCAAUGGACUAUGGUGUUCUGAAAGGAGAGCAAUCAAAAUUGACGAGUGGUUAUACCAAUAAACUACCUUAGAUAUAAAUUUCAAAUAAACUAAGAUAAGGAAAUGGCAACUUUCCCCUAAUUCAAUUGGAUGGCAAUGGCAUGGGGGAAUUGUUGUCAAUUAAUCUCUUAUUAUCGUUGAUAAUUAGUGUAAAGCUCCUCCCGAAAACACUUCAUAUUUCUAACCUUCGGCACUAUUACGAAAAGAAGAAGAACAAAGUUACAAAUCGCAAGAACAUCUCACGAGAAUCCCAACAUGGCCAGCUGCAUUUGCUUAAAAUUAGGGCGAAUAUUUAAAGUAAAGCUACCACCACAAACAUUGUACAUUACUAGGACAACCGUGUUUUUUCCUCUACUUUCUAAUAAUAGAACUAACAAACUCUUCAGAAUGGCCUGAAUUGUUGACUAAAAAGUAAAGGAGAUUAAAUGAAACAAGAUCGAUAGAACAGAUCUCAUGACAAAAAACAAUAAAAUAUUCAAGUAGAGAACCUAUUAAAUCAAAAAUUGAUCAGAUUUCACAAGUACAGCAUAAUUCGAUACUCAAAACAAAGCCCUCAAAAUAUAGUGAAGAAUCCUAAAUAAAAUUGAAGUCCACAAAAUCUGAGAAACCACGAGAAAAUUAAAUAGCAUAUAAAGCGUUCUUUCAAGCACGGGGUGGAGCUCCACCAGCUCCAACACGAGGGUUCUGUCCUGCCUGUCCAGGCUUUGGUGCAUCGUCCUGAGGAAAAACAUGGACAUAAUUCAACUAAUUAAACAAGCACCAACAACAGAAGCGUAUUUGUAUUUGCAAAUAAAAAAAUAAAACAAUAUAAGUAGAUUUAAAAUUGAGUGAGCAGCAACAAAACCAUGAAUUUCAACGUAAAUACUAACAAAACAGCAAAACGUUGCCUCAUGUUCCAUUAAACACCAAAGUAAACAGAAUUAGCAACCUUCAAUUUUGAAAUUGUGAGACUUGUUAAAAAACAAGGGCAAAGAAUGUGCAUUAACCCAGCAACAUGACAACAGUCAUUACACACAUCAUGAUUAACAUUAACAAAAAUGGAUAAAUAGAAAAAAGUAAGCUUUGUGAAGAUAUGUUAAAGGGUCAGCACUAAACACGUAUCAAUAGGCUUACGAUACGGCCAUACAACAGUGAGGAAUGGCAAUAUUUACAUAAAGACUCCAUUCUUAGCAACCAAAUCACACAAAAAUUGCUAAUGAGAAGCUAAUCAUCCAUUGGCAAAAGCUAGAAAGACUAAUCAUACACGAGCUCAUAUAAAUAGUCAUAUCAAUCUAGGAAAAUUAAUGAAACGAAAGAACCAAGAAAGAAAAGUAAAUAGAUUCAAAAUAUACCCUGCGUCUAAUGAAGCGCUGUGGGGGCUCACGUUUCCUCCUGUCAGUGCGUGAUCGAACCCUCACAACGUGAGAGUGAAUAGCACAAGAAACACAGUACUGCAUCUUGGCAUAAAGCUUAGGAAGAGUGUAUUCUGUAUCAAAAAACAAUCAUACAAAAAAUCACUCAAAACUUGCAACAUUGGAACAUAAAGGAAAAAUACACUCAAGAAAAGGAUCAUACGAUCAUAAACACAGGCUUCCUGAACAUCCCUAACAGCUGCCUGCUCCACAAUGUUCCUGACAAGGAACCUCUUGAUUGCCUUAUCCUAUCCACCCCAAGAAGAAACCACAUAAUUAGAUAUUCUAUACCAAACGAUAGUUCAACCGGUAAUUGCAAAUACGAGACGAAAUCAACCCAGAAUACCAACAACACAACAGGAAAAGUAAAACCCAGGAUGCGAAUUACUCGCGUCUUAAUUCGAUGAUGGUUAUACAUUGAGAUGCAAAUAGACGGAACAUCAAAAUAGGGGGGGAAAGAACCCUAGGUACCUUAGGGCAGCAUUUGCCGCAGUUGGAACAACGGAUGAAUUUCACGUGGCCACGUCCAUGCUUGUUGCGUCCACCAUUCCUGCGCUUGAAAGUCUGAACCAAAAGAGAAAUUGUUAAGCAGAAUACUAGAGGAGAACGAAGGAUCGAAAGAAAGGGGUGAGAGAUUAGGUCACCAUGGUUGUAGUGUAUGAGAUGGACGAGCGAAUCGGAGAGAAUCGGAGAGCUCGUCGGCUGAAUUAGGGUUUAUGAAUGAGUGGUAGUGAUCCUUUUAUAUGAAGGGGAAACAGAAGGUGACCUAGCGAAUGAAAUCCCUAAUUUGGCUUAUUUGCAUAUAACCCCCCAUUAUUCUUCUCUUUUUCAUUUUUUACCUACGACAUGGAUUCAUUACUCAUCUUCUUGGCCCAUUACAUUUCUUUUACACCACUUCUAAAUAUUGUUAUUAACAUUUAUAUUUUUCUUUUUAAAAAAAAAAACUUGUGUUAGAUGACAUAAACAUUUAGAGAAAACAAUUCAUGAAACAUCUUUUUUUGCAUAUUACAAAUAUAACAAGUAAUUAGUAUCACACCUCGUCCCGAAUAUCUGCUUGCUUGUCUCGCGAGACACCGUGUGACUUAAGCAUCAUUGACGCCGUUAAACACCAAAGACACUCGUCUUAACUUCCUUAUUUUAUCUUAAACACCAAAACACUUAACUUCGUGAAUAUUCUUUAGGCGAUAAAAAACUUAAAGCGAAAAAAUAAAACAACUUUAAACUUUUAUUCCUUAACAAGACAUUUAGUACAAUAACAUAAUGAUACAACACUUAACCAAAAGAUAAAAAUCAACCCUUAAACUUAAACACCUUACAACUUCUUGCCUAGCAAACCCAAACUUCCUCUUCCUUUUUGCCUCAACGUCUAAACCUUGGAAGGUAAAAUUUUAAAACAUAAGUCUAAAAUACUUAAUGAGGUUUUAUGAAAUCCUUUUUGCAAUACAUUUUUAUAAACAUCAUUUCUCAUAAAUAAUAUCAAAUCAUUUCGUUUCGCAUAAAACUUUUCUUUAUGCUUAACAAACACAUUUAUAACAUAAAAAAUUCAUAUAAACACACAUUAGUUAAUAAUUAUUCCUUUCACCGAGGAUCCCGAGUCGUUCUCUACAUUUGGUAUCAUUACCUAGUGUUUGACUACUGUAACAACAACAUCCGGGAACAUAUCAAUUUGUCAUUAUUGCUCAUAUCGUUGAGCUUUAUACGCUCCUUUCAAUGCAUAAGUCGGUUUCUUAUCACAAUGUAGUCCGUACACCCAUUGUGGUCUUAACUCUUUAUGUGCACAUAAAAGUUAGCAUCAUCUCAAGGAAUCAUGGUUUGAAAACCAUUUUAUAGCAUUGAAAUUGUAUUCAUCAAAUCAAACUUUAACAUUAUAAAUCAUGCUUGAACACAUAUAAACUUUUCAUAGAAAUCUCUUUUUGAAACACUUUCUCAUUUGAAGUCAUCUUUCAAAAUAGUAAAGGAAAAUCAUAAGAAAUUUUUUAACAUAAAACAUCUAAGAAAGCCACUCAUAGAUCGUAAAUCAACCCUUAACUGAAAUGUCCAAGACCUCUUUGAUCCAAACCUUCACUGCACAUAAACUCAUUUUCAGUCAGAACCUUUCUUCCAAUUUUAUAGCUUAAUAACAUAAAAUCCAGAACUCAAAUGAAAAUGUUUCAUUCUACAAAGUCGUUGAAAAAUUUCUUAAUAAUAAUACAUCAAAAUUUUAGCAAAAUAUUCAACCAAAUGCGUCUUGUAACCUUCUUGGAGUAAAGACUGAUCAGUUUUUAUACGAGAAUGACAUUCCUCUCUUCUUUUAACUCAAACUCCGCUUUUCUUUUCUCAAAUUAAACCAACAGCCCCAAUGUAGGAAAUAAACUAAAAAAUGAAACUUUCUAGAGUAAUUUUAUUUAAUACACACGAGUGUAGUAUGAAAAAUUCAAUAUUGAAAAUGACCUAUUUUUAGAGUCCAUUGUAUGAAUUUACGUUGACACCUCAUCUUUACUUAAAUCCACCUUAAACCUUAUUAAGACACAUCCUGCUUAUUUUUACACCUUAAAACGCAAGCUAACAAGUCUUUGACACUUCACUUAAUCCUUAAAUCGCUUGCCUUAAACUUGCCACGUGGUUGUCUAAAACGCAUAACUAGCUUCCAAUACCAUCUCACAUAGUUUCUCACUCAGACUACAUAACCCGACUUAGAAAGGUUAUAACUUAAAAUACGUAACUCUUUUGAUCAAACUUAUUUCUACAAAGUUACUUUAAAACGCGUUAACUUUCUUUUCUCUAAAUUUCAUAGCCAAACGCCAAACUAUGCGUUAUGUAGUCUUCUAGGAGUGCAUUUUACUCAAAUUCACUCAUGAAUUGACCUUCUCGCCUUCUUUUAUCCAAAAUGCCAACUUUCUCAUAUCCAAAAUGCCCAACAGCCUUCCUCAAUAGACUAGACUCAAAUUUUAUACUUUCAAGACCAACUCAUUUUAGAAGUUAGCUAAAACACCCAACUUCUACAAUCCUUCUUUCUCGCCAACCUUAAACACUCAAAAUGUCUAAAGUGCUCUUUUUUUAUACUUAAUCAAAAAACUUAUUUCUUUCAAACCUCUUAAAUAUCUUUGAAAAAUCUACAAUACCUAAAAUUCGGAUCUUACAAUUAGAAUAUCGUAGGACUAUUAGAAGUUACUAGUUUUUAAAUUUGCUGUUUUUGCAAUUUAGAAAAUAUAGUGGGAUACUAUGUUAUUAUAAAAAAAAAUCUUUUGUUAUUUUUAAAAGUGUCCCAAUUACAUUGGGUACAAAUUUAAAUAUAAAACUAAGCAUUUCAUCAAAUUUUUAAAUUUGGAGAAUAUGUCAAAACAUUGAUGUAGAAAAUAACAAAUUAUUUAAGUGGGUUUAAAUUUAAUGGCGAUUAAGUAAUUAAGCUUGAUGACAAUUUUAUAAAUAUGUGGAACUUUUACAACUUUAGGGCACUCCUUAGUGAAGCAUAAGAAAGAAAAAAAUUUAGGUGUUGUUUGUCCUCUUCGAUUGGCAUCAUGUGGGCUUGGCAUUUGAUGCCAAAUCAAUGCCCAUGGUGUAAAAUCAUAUGUUUAACAUGUAGGGUAAAUUGACGACUUUUUUUAAAAAAAAAAUUACAAAUUUCUAAUUAACCUAUGAUAAAAUGUAAAUUUUUGGUGCAUUCAAAAAGUUGGUUGGAGGGAGAAAGGAAUUAUAACAUUGUGUAGAUUUGAAUAGAGAAGGGUAAGAAUGUAAAUUCACAUAAAAAAAAGGGUUAGUUGUAAUAAAGUUUUUAGAAAUGAGUUAGUGAUAGAAAAGUUUUAGUUUUUAGGUCAGUUUAUGAAAGUUUCUUACCAUGGUUGAAGUUUGAGGAAGAAGUUAUUGUCCAUUACUGUCUUAGUUUGUUUGUUGAGGUCAUCGACGAAGGCCAAAAUUAUGUGGCCAUAGUUCGUCGAAAAAGUUAUUCUUGUUUUACAAUCCAUCAAAGUCGUUAGAGUUCGUAGUGAGCAUCACAGUCAUUUCGUUCGUUGAAUUCGACAUCGAAGUUGUUCCUUUAUCACUUAGCAAGGAAGAAAUAGUGAAAGAGAAAUAGCGAGAAGUAUGAAAUUAGAGUGUUUUAUGAGAGGUAAUUAUGACGAUCCGGAUCAAAUUUGUUAAAACUCUUUUUUAAGAAGUAAUCUUUAAAAAAGAAUGGUUUGGGGCCUUAGAAUGUUUCUUCUUCUUCUUUUGUUUGGUUAUUUUUUAUAAAUUUGUCUCAAAUUAGAAACAUCUAAUACAAUUAUUAUUAUUGGAUGGGAAAGUUGAUGUUUUGUUUGGAUAAUUGAGAAUCCAUUAAACAUAUAUAUACAUCUACAUAUACAUAUAUAUAUAGGAAGUCUAACUUGAAAAUUAACUAAAACAAUAAAAUAGGCAUAGAACAACUGUAAGGUUUCCAUUAAAAUAAUACACUAUCGUGAAAUUAAAUUAAAAAAGGAAAAGCGACUUUUUCUUCAUAUUCAUUCAGCCUCCCAGAGAAGAAGAAAGAGGGAAUGCUUUGAAUUUGGAAGUUAAAAAAUUCUUCAAUUCCGUGAAAUCCAUUUCCAUCUUUCCCUUCCCAUUUCUCCAUCAUUCAAAAACAAAACCCCCAACACUUCUCCACCUUCAAUUUUUACUCUAAACCUCCACAAUUCUGUCUCACCGGACCCGACCAAUUCAUAACUGCAAUGGUCGAUCUUUCCGAAACGGCUGCCGGCAGCGCUGAAGCCGACGGCAAAGACAUACCCUGCACCUCAUGUGACCGCCAAACUUUACUCCACCAGUCCAUGGGCGGCGGCAAAGGUAUUUCAAUUCUCCUUACAUAAUUUCGUUGUCUCUCGAUCAAUUUCGCGUUUCUGAAUUAGAUUCCUUCGACCCCUUAUCGAGAGUUGAUGUUGAAUCAGUUGGGUGCAAUCGGUGAUUCUUGAGGGGUUUGAUUUUUUAUGAUACACUGGAUGAUAUGAAGCUUUAAUUUAAAUGUUUUCUGAAAUGGGUUUGCCUGAUUCGUCCAUGUUCUUUUCAUUUUAUCUGUUUGUUUCCCUUUUUCGCAUUUCAAUUACGACUUUGACUGGUUGAAACUUGAAGUUUUUGUUACCUUUUGGCUUUGGGAAUCGGAUUCUACAUUGGCUAUUUUCCCAGUUUUAUUACAAAUUUCUUGCGUGGUUUUCAUCUUUCUUCUUCGUGUCUUAUAAGGAAAAAUUAAAACCAAUGAUGAUAUUCCCCUUUCUCGUUUGAUAAUCUUGACCCUUUGUUCUUUUGCAUAGCGGCUGAUAUUCUUCUGUGGAAACAGUGGCAUGUCUCUAUCGGCGUUCUUGUUGUUUCUACAGUAUUUUGGCUUCUAAUUGAGCACUCCGGAUUGCCAUUGUUGACAACAUGUUCAGAUGUCUUGCUGAUUUUGGUUGUCCUAUUGUUUCUUCGUGCCAACUUCGCUGCAUUCCGAAACAAGUACGGUUUUAGCUUACUUAUGUUUUGAUUCACUCUGAAGUUCUUGCAUAUCAUAGUCUUUUACAGAUGACUUUUUGCUUAUACUACUUUGUUCUUUCCAGCAGAUAAUUUGUUUUCCUCGUUAGCUUUUCUUCAUUUUCUCUCUUUAUGCAGGCAACUUCAAACACUACCGCAGCUGGUACUGUCGGAGGAGUUUGUCAACAACGUAGCAGCAUCACUUCGGGCAAAAAUCAACAACACCUUACUUAUGGCUCAUGAUAUCACGGUUGGCAAUGAUUUCAAACUCUUUUUCAGGGUUGGUAUUUUUGAAGCACCAUUGAAUUAUCAUACGUGUGAUGCAUACUGUGAUUCCUAGUCCUAAUAUCCCAUAUUAUUGGAACUUGAAUUAAAUGGCCAAAACUGAUAAGUAUUUACUGGGUUUAAGUACUUUUCUCUGAAAAUAAUAGAUUUAAGAAUGUUUUACAGGGUUGUUCUGAGGUAGUUAAUAUUUUACAGGACAGUUUCAAGAAUGCAUAAACUUAAUAUUCACUUCAAGAGCAUAAUGUUGACUUGCUACUUCUUUGUUUUUGGCUGCAAUAAUAUGAUUAACCUUGCAAACACCUUUUGCAGAUGGUGAUCGGAUUGUGGCUUUUAUCCGUCGUUGGUAGCUACGUUUCUUUCUUUACCUUUGCAUAUGUUGGUAUGCACGAACAUCCUAAAACACUUGCAUUCACAUUUCUUUAGUUCGUAUAUGUUCAUCUGUUGGUAAAUUACGAUCCUCAACGACAAGUAAACAUUCAGAGAAUUUUGUUUGUUUUGUCCAUACAUCAUUUCCUUUCAAUGUUUUUUGCUCUCAAGAAAUGAAUACUGUCUAAUGAAUGCCCCUUUGUAAUCGAGUCUUCUUAACCUAGGAUGUUGAUUUUUGCCAUUUAACUGGAUGACAGGAACAAUCAUCUCAAUAACCAUCCCUGCUUUGUACAGCAAAUACGAUAAACACGUUGACAGAUACUGCGGAAUGAUCCGCCAACAAUUUAGAAAGCAUUAUAGAGUGAUGGAUGAGAGUGUUUUCAGCAGACUCCCUGGUGGUUUAUCCAAAGAUAAAGAUCAGUGAAAAAACUCUGCCUUUAAUUUUCUAUAGUUUUACUGAAACCACAGGAAGAUUGUAACAAUGUUCUAUCACAAAUGAAUGCCUUAACUGGAUUCUUGAAGGUUAUUGCUUGGCCAUGUGUAUUUCAUACCCCAAGGUUUAAUGAUGUCAGCCAUUAUAGAUCAGAUAUCACAUAUUUUAGUUUUUAAUUGCUAGAAGAAAAGAUCAGGGUUAUGUUCUUUUUCUUUUUUGUUUGGGAGAGGUUAUUUAAUGAUAUUUAUGAAUAUUUUCUUUUGAAACUUGUAAGUGGGGAAAGCUUUUGAAUCUGGUUGGUCAAGGUCUAAUACUGAGAUUGAAUUUCCUUUUUGUCAAGUAUGGACCAGCCCACAAAAGGCCUCAUUAUUGAUUACCCAACAAUAGGUUAGUUGGUUCAUAUUUCAUAGUGUGUUUGGACUUAAAAAAAGGAUAAACUUUGGGACAUUGCAAAUUUGGUCCCUAUUAACUAUUAAGUUGGAUACGUUUACAAUUAAAUUGAUUAAACAAUGUCUUAAAUGUCUCUACCAAAGUUAAAAACUAGAAUCCUAAAUAAAAUUAUUCAAUAAGCCACAAAUAUCCUAUAAUUAAAUCAAACUUUUCACACACAAUUAAUACCUAUCAAAAUUUUAAUUUUCUUCUAAAACCUGAAAAUUAACACCUAUCACUAUCAAAGCUCCACCUACUUUCUACCGUCGUUUCACAUCUUCUUUAAAUCGUGGUCAAGUAGUCGUUUCAUAUCUUCUUCAAAUCGCAUUCAAACGUUCAGGGAUUCAAAGGUUAUCGAUCUCUUCACAUCUUUCAAACCUUUAAAAAACUUAAGGUAUUCAAACGUUGAGGAAAAGAGGGUCAUCGAACAACAUUUUUGAAAUCCUUGAAACUCUUCAAAGUCGAAAAGAUUCCAGGUUCCCUAUCUUCCGCUUACGUAGAUUCCACCAAUUUUUUUUUUUAAAAAAAAUCUUUCGUCCCCUUUAAACAUUUCAUCACUUGUAGAAACGAUUGGAGCUUCAAGUUUCUUUCCCUUCAAAUCGAUUUGAUCGGUGCAAAAGUGAGAUUUUUCAAGGGAUUUUCUUCUUCGUAGUUCUUCUUUCGUUCGUUUGAGCUCUCACUUUUAGGAAAAUUUAUUAUGAGUACGUUUAAUGUAAAAUUUGCAAAUAACAUAAAUAUUGGUAUUUCAAACUAAGGUAAAAAAGUGCAAAUCUACCUACUAUUUUUCCAGAGAAAUUUUCAAAAAUAGCAAAUUUUGACAAAAUAUUUACAACUUAUAGCAAAUUCUAUCAAUGAUAGUUUUCUUGAUAGUUAAUUCUAUCACCGAUAGUCAUUGAUAUACUAUCAAGAGAACUAUCAUUGAUAGAAUCUAAAAUUUUGUUAUAGUUUGUAAAUAUUUUAAUUUAUUUUACUAUUUUAAGAAAAAAUCAUUUAAAUAUGUAUUUUCUAUUAAUUUUUAAAAAAACUUUAUAAUUGCCACAAAGAAUAUAAUUAUUUAAAACAGAAAGAUAUGGAUAUUCGUAAUUUUAGUUGAAAUGAAAGAAACUAAUCUAACAUACGAAAUUCUUGUAUAUAUAAUUGACAUUAUUUCACGGGAAGAAUUGUAAAAUUCAAAUUCAAUUUUUUAUUAAAAAUGUAUAUUGCAUAUAAUUCAAUAAAUUGUUAAUGAAUUGUUUAAAAUAUAAUAAAUCUGAAAAUCUUGUAUAUAUAUUUUACAUCGUUUUAGGGGAGGUUGAUGAAAUAUUGUCUAGCAACAAAAUAGCAUAUUUAAUUAAAUUUGAAUGUUGUUUGAGAAAUACAUUGUCUCUAUACAAUUUGUGAUAUCUUACCUCGUUUUUGGAUCUACUCAAAAUAUUUUGAUUAAAUAGAUUAUCUUAUACCUAGGGAUAGAUUUGAGUUUAAAAUAAUUAAAUACCUUUUCGCAAAAUACCGUUUGUAAACAUCAUUUUGCUAAACAUAUUCAAUUACAUGAAUUCAUUUUUUCACAUAAACUUAUCAUUUCGCACAUCACAUCAAUUUACAUUUCCAAUAUCACACAUUAGUCAAGUUAUUCCUUCUGCCAAGAAUCUUGAAUCAUUCUCUACGCAAGGACUCAUCAUCCGCAUUUAGACUACUAAGAUGACUUUUUCAUCAUCAACAUCCAAAAAUAUCUUGAUUCAUUCUUGUUGCUCAGGCCGUUCAUUUUCGUUUUCUACAUUGGUCCGCUUUACUCCACCAUGCAGUCCUUUUUUACAUGACUGCCUUUACCCCUAUGUGCACAUAACAGUUAACUCAUCAAUAGAAAGAUAACUAAUGAUUUGAACAUUUAUUCAUAAACAUCCACAAUCUCAAUAAACAUACUUUGAAAUACAACAUAAGUUUUAUAUAUAUAUAAAAAUCUCUUUUUAGAAAGCAUUUUAUUUGAAUAAUCAUUAACUCAAAUCAAUAAGAAACUUAUAAGGAAAACUUUUAACACAAAUUUUUAAAUAAAGCACUCACUACAGUUGGAAAAUAAACUUCAAAGGCUUCUCCUCUUCUUCUUUUCUCGUCGACAAAUUGACAACACCUCAACACUUAAAUUUUUUCCUUCGAAUUCUCAGAAUAAUCAUCCUUAACAUUAUGAUCUCAUACUCUACUUAUACUACUUCAUUAUCAAGCUUAGUCAUCUUUAGUCUCUUAUUACCUUACUAACUCCUACUCUUAGUGAUGCAUGUGUAAGCUUAAAGUUUAACUUAAUCAUGUUUAAGUACUUAAACUCUACAUAUGGUCCAUUAAGCAUACUUAGAAAAUUUAUGUGAAUUGAAGUUUCCUUGCUUCUUCAAGUAGUCAUUUAUCUUGUGAAACACCUUAAUCGCAUAAAAACAUAACUUUAAAAAAAAAUCUUGUCGCAUAACCUUUCUCACAGACUAACCAACCUUUUCUCGCAUAGUCCAUCCAAAACGUCUCUUUCAGGACAUUUAGUCAAAUUUUACUUCUUAUAUUAACUACGAGUCUUAACUACAAGUUUUACAUUAACAGAAAUCCAUAAAUGUGUGCAUCCCUCAUUUGCUAAAAAUCUUAUUCUCGCUAGUUUUUGCUAUAUUUCCAACUGCAACCUCUAAAUUUGUCAUUCCUACAUGUCUCUUAUGAAUUUUAUCGGGAAUCAAUGGUAAUCACGUUUUUUUGUUGUUUACCCAUGUGUUGCAUAGUCGAACUUUGGUCUGGCUCGUGUUUGAAAAUUUCACCCUUACCCAGAUACUCUAAUUGUGUAUAAAAAUUAUGAAUUUUUAUCACUUAUUAUUAUGUUUACCAUUACCAUUAUCAUUUUUGAUUGAAAUCUAUUAUAAUUGAUUGGUAAAUUUGACCUAAAUUGUAAUUUGCGAAACCAGAGGGUUAAAUUGUUUCAUGAAAUUAUAAGGGUCAAAUUUGAUGAAAGGGGAUAACUUCACAUUAACUGCAAUACGUAUUUAAAGCUAAAUUCACAUUAUUUGCAGUAUUCAAUUAACCAUAACAUCAAAACAACCUAAAUACUGGCAUGAACAAAUAAUUUAUAUUUGGUAUGUUGUUCUAUAUGCAAAAUUAUAUUUGGUAUACUGUUUGUGUAAAAUGCUACACACACAUAUAGACAAACAAACUAUGAUUAUAAGAGUUACAAAUGUGGGAAAAAGUUAAAAUUAAAGCAAAUGGGUGUCCCAUUUUAUAUUUUGAUGGUCAUAUGAGUUUUCACAUCCAACCAAAACAUAGUUUAUUGAAUCAUUGUACUCUUCCAUAUCAUCUCAUUAUCUAUUGUCCAUCCACUUCUCACUUCUUCUUCUUCUUCUUCUUUUUAAUUUCCAUUUUUUCCCUUAAUUCAAGAAAUGCAAUGCAGACGACUUACUUUUAGAAAAGUAAUUUAUGUUUUAUUUAUUAGAGUAUGUUAGUCUAAGCAUUUCUUUUUAUUUUACCUUUUCAUCAUCUAUUCUUUCCAUCACAACUUCUACUUCUAAACGUGAAGUACCAAACUUCCUAACUCCAUUUCUUUUUUCUGUUUUUUAUGAUAAAUUGCCUUCAAAGUUGGUCCAUCUAUCUAUCCAAAUGCCUUUAUCGUCAUUAAAUAGUAACAAUUUACUUUUGGGUAUAGCAAGUGAACUUCACGACGUAGAUGACAUGCAACUAUGACAAUUAGCAUUGAUUGCGUUUUAAAAUUUUAUUUCUACAGAAAGAAAGAAAGAAAGAAAAAAAAAAGUAGCCAAAGAAUUAAUACUUGACUUAAAAACUGCAAUUAAUAACAUACCUAAAAAAAUCCAUAAACCUUUGCUAUUUAUGUUAAAAUUACUCAAUUGUUUUUGAACUUACAAUAUUACCCUUUCAUAAAACAAAUUCAAAAGUGCCAUCUUAUGUUAAAAGAUUAUAUAACUCUUAACAUUAAAACUUUUUUUCACGAACAAAGGGAAUGAAGCUAAGGGUGUUAUUAUUUUUAAUACAAGUCUCGUUUUAAGCUUUAUGUUAAUAGAUGGAUUAUAGAUAACUUAUUACAUUAAACUUUCAUUAAGUAUCACUAAUGAUAAAAGAGUGCCAAAAAGAUAAUAGGCAUAACAAAAAAAUUAAAAGAAGUACUAGAAAAAUAAGAUGUACAUAUUAAGAAAAAUAAAGCUUUUCAAUUAAAAGGAAAAAUUAUAUAUAUAAAACAGAAAACAUUAAUGCAACGUCCUCAUACUAAUAAAUUGAGAGGACUAAAUCAACAAUUCCUUUCUAAACAUAGAAAACUCCUUCUUCAGUAACCAUUUUUCUUCUACACACAAUAUUUUCCUAUAUAUUUUAUAUUUAUGAAUAUAUAUUUAUUAUAUAUAUAUAUAUUUUUUUUGGGUUUUUUAAAUCCCAAAGACCUAGCGGGUGUGAGUCAACCACCACUGCCAUAGCCGGCCACCGAAACGAGGGCGCCCGGAGAUCUUCCUACUCUACCCUGUGUUUUACCCUCUCUGAGCUUCUUUUUAGAAUUGGCCUCCCUCGAACGUCUGACCGAACUGCCAGUUCGCCGGAACGGCGUCGUAGCUAGUGACGGUACGGCCGUCGCUGGUGGUGACUUGGAAAGAGAGGCUCUGUCCAUUCAAGUAAUUGUUGCUCUGCCAAUUCUGACCCCAAUUUCUUGACAUCGCUUGCCACCCUGUUUUCGAACCUUUGAUUGACACCGAAUGGAUGUCUCCGGCGCCGCCCACAUUGGUGAUUAGAACUAAGUUGAAGUAUGAAUGUCCGUUAAUGGUGAAUCUUAUUCCUCCCUUCUUCAUACAGGGUACUCUGUAAUUCAUCAAAAUCAGAGAUGAGACAAGAAAAAAAGAAAAGAAAAGAAAAGUGGAUGGUUUUAUCUGUUAUAAAUCGAAGAAAUUGGUUUUUAAUUUGACCUUUGGAAAGAAACGGGAACGAUUCCGGCACGGUACUGAGCGAUUUGGAGAAAGGCAGGCUCAGCCAAAUCGAAGUGUUGAAGAGGAGGGUUGCACCAGCCGCCAUUGUCGUUGGACAGAGCAAAGUUUGGUGGACAGAAAUUAGUGGCGGUGACGAUGAUUUUUCCGGGAAGACACCAUUUAGGAUCACUGUUGCAAGUGAUUUCAUAGCAAGAGCCACAGCUGAGACCAUUGUUGAAGAGAGCAGUACUAAGCGCCGCCGUGUUCGUUCCAUAUCCUUGACUGUACAAAUUCCCAUACCCACAAGCUCCACCUGAUAAAAAGAAAAAACCCAAUUCGUCAUUAGGACAGAAGUCCAAAGAAACGAUCAUAAAUCACCCAUUGACCAGAAAAACAAAAUGGAUAUUAACUAGAGAGGAAGUAACAAUGGAGCAACUUGAAUCUACAAUCUCUUGUAAUCUUAAAAUACAAAUGACCCAAAGCAAAUGAGUAAAACGUUAAUGGAAGAGAAAGGAAGAAUUGAAAUCGUAAAAUAGUGAAGGGUUAAAAAUCUGAAGUUGAUGGUUGAAAGUGAAGAAAGGAAGAUGGAUAGUUUGAUUAGUUAGUUUACCCAUUGUGCCAGAAGCGUCACCACCGCCGUAGAAGGUGGCGUGGCCGUAAUCGGCAGAGAUUGAAGGAAGGAAAAUGAGGAAGAAAACAGAAAGAGAAGAGAGUAGUGAUGAAGGAGCCAUGGGAGAAGGAAGGUUUAAGAGUUUUGUAGUGAAGGGUUUGUAGUGGGGGAGUGGGAAGAAAUAGAAGAGAGGGUGUUAUUUAAAUAGAGGGGAAAAGAAAGCAGUUGAAGAAAAGUACAAGUUGGCUAUAAUUGUGGUGGAGAUUGGAAUGCAAAAUAGAAUAAAGCAAAGGGUAAAAUAAAAUAAAAAGGAGAAAAUAUAUGUUUUGUUAUAUGUUUUGAGAAUCUUUUAAUUUACUUCGUUCUCUCAAAAAAAAAAAAAAACGUAAAAGAGUUUAAUUGUUAAGAAUCACAAAAAUUCAUUACCUCUCUAUUUUUUUAUUUAUUAAAUACUCAGUUUCACCACUAAUGUUAAUAUAUAUUGCAAAAACUGACAAAAUUAGUCCCUAAAAUUGAAAGGCAAUAGAAAUUAAUUUGAAAAAGCAGGGUUGUUAUCAUUUAAGUGAGUGAGUUAGAGGUUAAUUUAAAAUACUAAACAUGAACAAGAAGUGAGGAACAAAAAAGUGAAAUAUUGAAUGAAAUUUGUAUUAAAAAGACUAAAAAUAUAAUAUUUAAAAACAUAGAAAUCCAAUAAAAAUAAAACCCAAUAGAUGAAUUAAAAUGAGAGGGGGAAGAAGGGGGAAGAAGGGGGAAGAAGGCACAUGGGAGGCGUAUGAAAUGGACUACCAACUCUUUAAACACGGGUGGGCCCAUACAGCACAUGCUUUUUUCUUUUCUUUAAAUUUGGAUGGGGAAAGGGAAUACGUAAUUUCCACGUGGCUGGUAUUUUGUUCGUUGGUAAACGGUAGUUAGGAAUCUGUGCCGUUAGGAUAUACCUGAAUUUCCGCUUCUCUUCUAUAUUACCAUAUCAAACAAACGCCCCUCACUUUCACAUUUCUAGGGGUAAGGGUAACCCUAUACCCCUCUUCUCCUCUCCUUUCCCGCCCUGAUCCCCUUCUCCUUUUCCCUCUAUCUUAAAUAUAUACUACUCUUUCAUACCUUUCAUUUUUAACCCUCAAAUUUAUCUAAUUAAUCAAUUUUCAUACCCUCUUUCUUUCAUCCCUCCCCUCUCCUGAUUAUCUCAUUUUUACCCUUCAAUUUUCUCUAACCACCCUUUUUCAUUGGAUGUGAGUCAAGGUCAAUGUAUGUCCAACACCCUUAUUUCUUAUCACUCAUCUUUCAUCCUAUACCUUCACUAUCUUCAAUCCAAAUUCAUAUAUCAAAACAGAGUCAAAAUAUGUCUUCAUAAAAGUGUAGUCUCAUCAUUUUUAAAAAACAAUGGACAAUCAUAUAUGUGUGUAUAUAUAUAUUCCCCAUAUUAUUCAUCAUUACAUACACACCCAUAUUCCUAAAUUAUUGGCAAAUCAAUUAUUUGAAUUUCAACAACAUCUUUUCAUAUAAAAGAAUUCUAAAUAAAUCUUUUGACAAAAAAAUUUAACCGAUUAUUUUAUAAUUACUUUUACUUCUCUAAAAUAUUUGAAGCCAGAUUAUGAAUGAAAGUAAAAUUUAAUAUCAUAUCAUCUUUUAAGUAGUAACCAAUGAAGAAUUCGUCAACAUGAGUUCAAUGCAAUUGACAUAUGUGUAUUCACUUUCUCAUAUUCUCUUUACAUUUAGCCUUUUUGUUUGACUUUUUUUGUACUCAUUAAAAUAGCAUAUUGAAUUAAUAAUUCUAAUAAGUUUGAGCCAUUUUAGACAUUGAAACUCUAGAUUUGUACAUUUUUGCAUGUUUUGUUUGUCGUGGAAGCCAAUGAAUUAAAAUUUAGUAGUUUAUGAUUAAUAUGUAACGUUAGACUUAGACAUGAAAAAUGAGUUUUUAAGCACACAUUUAUAUUAAUAGUAAUUAAUUAAAUGAAGAAACACACAACUUGUAAGAAACAAAUUAUUCAAAUAGUACUAAUUUAAUUUGUAAAGUAAAGUGUUGAAAUAGAAAAUUGUUAUUGUUGGAUCCAAAUUUGAAGAUGGAUCUACCUUUCAUUAUUUAAACGUUCUUACAAAUUUUGGUAGAUUGAGAAAAAGAGUAUCUCUCGAUUAAAGUGUUGAACUAGUUAAUUAAGAAGAAAAACUUAAUUAUAACUAAGAAGACAAAAAAUCAGUUGAAAUGUUAUUUAUUGUUGAAAUUAAUAUUGUAAUAGACUAGUUCAACUCUCAAGAAUAAUGGAGUUUAAUCAUGUUUUGACUUCAUAUAUUAAUUUUAAUUUUCACAAUUAAAAUAUUUGGUCAUAAUAAGAAAAAUUAAACCCAAAAAUUACACUAACACUCAAAUCAAUUGAACCUAAAACCUAAUGAAAUCCAUCAAUUUUGACUCCCAUUCAAAGUGUUCGCUAUUUUAUAAAUUGACUUUUGGUGAUUAGCCACAUAUUUUCAAAAUAAUUUUUUUUGACUUUCUUUCUAGUUUUAAAAAAACCGUACUUACUCUCAAGUCUCAAUUUUAUUAAUUUAUUUACACAUAUUUCAAAACACAAAUAAAUUUGUUAGAAAUGAAUAUUAAGAUCUAAUAAAAUUUAUCUUUUUAUUUUUAUAAAAUUUGAAAAUAGAAUGAUCACUAAAUUGUUGUUUCAUAAAGUUUAGAGACUAAUUUGUUACUUUUAUAAAAAUAUAUAUGUAAAAACCAAGGUAAUGUUUAAUUUAUGUUAGUAGUGAGUUAUGAAUAAAUAAGGCAUAGAUUAGCGCCUAGCGGCAUCAGUUAUGAGGCCUUGAAAUAGAGAGAAAUUUUGGAGAGUAAAAUGAGAAGGUCGGAAAAGAAAAUAAAAGGGUGGGGGAGAAGACAAGUUGGGAUUGUGAAGUAAAAGUAAGUAACAAGAUUGUCUCAAAAGAAGCCAUUAAAUCCAAACAAACAAAAAGGAAAAAAAAGAAAAAGAUAUGGGAAUCUUAAUAUUCAUAAAUUGAUUUCUCUAUCAUAUAACUCCAACCCAUUUCAAUCUCAAUAAAUUUAUAAAUAAACCAAAAAGAAAUACACUAAUUUAUAUGUAUAUAUGGAGAGAGAGUUUGAUUUAUAAAACAAAACCGUCCAUAUAUAAUCCAAUUAUCCAAUCCAAAAUAUUAGAAGGGGAAGUUCAAAAAGUGAUAUAGAAACAAAAGAUGGCAUUAAAUAUAAAAUGAAGUUUGAUUGGUAUGGAUUUAUAAUAUGAAGAGAGAUUUUGAAAUGAAAAUAAAGAAAAAAGAAAAAUGGGGUCUACCAUGUUAGGGAGCACAUGGAAGGGCCGAUGUUUGCGCCUCUAUUUCUAACACAAAUCCAAAUAUUUAUUUAUUUUUUGUCAGACACCGACUUUUCUUUUAUUUUCACUUCUUUUUUCUUUUAUAAUAUAUAUAUAUAUAUCCCCAUGAACAUCAGUCAUCACCAAUUCACUUUUUUAUUUAUUUAAAAAAAAAAAGAACAAACAAAUAAAAACACCAAACCUUUUUUCUCUUCUAGGUUUUCCCCUGCCACAUCUUUUUUUUUUCUCUUUCCUUUUUAAUUUCAGAGACUUUUUUUUAAAAAAAUUAUUAAUUUAAGAAAAGGGUUUUUUUUCUUAUCUAUUUGGGUUGAAAGAAAUUGAACCGCCAUUUAGUAUCUUUGGUUUAAAAUAAUGGCUCAAAUAUAAAUUAAGCUCUAACCGACAAUAUUUGAGAUUAAUUAGUUUAAACACACAAUUUUGGCGGAAUCAUCAUCUAUUCAUUUGGUUUUCUUUUCUUUUUUAAUUCAUUUCUCUAUUGCAUCAAUUCUAUUGUUUGGACUUUAAAUAGGUUUUUGUUCAUAAUUUAUUUGUGUAAACUUCUUUUAAGGUACACGUCCCUAGAUUUCAACUAUACACCUAUUAACAUUCAUAAAAUUUAGUCAAGGUAGUAUUAUUUAAACGUUGUCAUCUUCCUACAAAAAAAAAAAAUUAAACUAAGUUAGGUUUGGGUCUAGUUUUUAUUUUUAUUUUAAUUUACAUUAAAAUUUGCGUAUUAAAAUGUCCCUGAUGUAUUUCAUUAGACGUUAUAAUUAAAAUAGAUUAAGUUUCAUUAUUUUUCUUCAAAAUUAAAACUAAUUUAAAAUUUUCACUUCAUCCAAACAUUAAAAGUGAGCAUUUAAUGAAAAAUCAAAGUUAAAAUCGUAAAACCUUGAAAUCGAGAGAAAAAAUUGAUCAAGUCUCAAAUUCCAAAAAGGUAAAUUAAUUGUAACGUUUUCAAACAUAUAAAUUAAACUCAAAAUUUAAACAAUAUAAUCGUCGCAACAUUUUGAAACUUAAAGGUUAAAACGUGUAGGAAGCAAGCAAAAAUAUCAAAAUUGUAUUUAAUUAAACUUUGUUUUUGUAAAGUAAGUAUAUACUACUUUUUCAAUAUGUUUGAAAACAUUUUCUCAGACCAUAGUAUUUAAUUUUUUGAUGGAUAUGUCCGGUGUUUAUUCUUCACAUGUAAUUAUAUAACGUUAGUCAAUUUUGGCAUAUUGAAAUGAAUAGAUCAUAUAAAAGAAAGAAAGAACCAAGGUAGGUAGCAUAAAUAUAUAUACAUGAAUGAAGAGAAUAAAUAAAUUUAAUUUUGAGAAGAAGGGAAAUGAAUUGUUUUUUAUUUUGUGUAAGAAAGAAAUCAAAAUGCAUGUGAGAAGAAAAUGAUUUGAUUGAGCAAAAUCUUCUAAAAAUGUGUCUGUUUGUGCAUGGAAGAAGGUGCAUGCAUGCCAUGCAUGAUUUUUCAUCAUUUCUUUUAUGAAAAAUAAAUAAAUAAAUACUCAUCAUAUCAUAUCAUUGUAUAUAGCAAUAUAAAUGUGGGGGGAGACAUGAAGACAAUAUAUAUGUGAUAAACACACACACCAACCUUUUUUUCAAAGUAUCUUUUUGUUUUAGUUUUUUUUUUUACUGCUUUUUUUCAAUUAAAAAACAAAAAAUUAGAAACAAAUCAAAUAAUAAUAUUUUAAAGUGAAAUGAACUUAGAUAAAUUAUACUUUGAUUUGGGCAAACAUAUUGCAUGUGAUGUGCUUAUGGGGUCAAAAAUAUUGGCUUUUCUUAUCUCAUAAAUUCAUUAUUGUCAUUGUCAAAAGCUGUAUGGAAUUAGAGAUGCUAUUAAGAAAUGAUUAGCCUUUUCUUUUGAAUCAUCUAUCUAUCUACCUCUAACUUUCAAUUUACUUUUAUUUUAAAUUGGAAUUAUUUCUUUUUUCUACUCUUCCCAUUUACACAAAGUAUAUCAAAACGACAAAAAAAAAAAAACAAAAAAA
rnacentral:lncRNA from 1 species